GACGAACCGUGCGAACGUUGUUCGGAAUCACUGGGCUUAAAGGGCGCGUAGGCGGGCGGUCAAGUCAGAGGUGAAAUCCCACGGCUCAACCGUGGAAGUGCCCCUGAUACUGGCCGUCUCGAGGGAGGUAGGGGCGUGCGGAACUUCCGGUGGAGCGGUGAAAUGCGUUGAGAUCGGAAGGAACGCCCGUGGCGAAAGCGAGGUCCUGGACGCCUACUGACGCUGAGACGCGAAAGCCAGGGGAGCGAACGGG
rnacentral:rRNA from 1 species